UACGUAGGGUGCGAGCGUUGUCCGGAAUUAUUGGGCGUAAAGAGCUUGUAGGUGGCUCGUUGCGUCGGGAGUGAAAACCCGCGGCUUAACCGCGGGCCUGCUUCCGAUACGGGCGAGCUAGAGUUCGGCAGGGGAGACUGGAAUUCCUGGUGUAGCGGUGGAAUGCGCAGAUAUCAGGAAGAACACCCGUGGCUAAGGCGGCUCUCUAGUACGGUACUGACGCUGAGACGCGAAAGCGUGGGGAGCGAACAGG
rnacentral:rRNA from 1 species